rnacentral:rRNA from 1 species
UGGGGAAUCUUGCGCAAUGGGCGAAAGCCUGACGCAGCCAUGCCGCGUGAAUGAUGAAGGUCUUAGGAUUGUAAAAUUCUUUCACCGGGGACGAUAAUGACGGUACCCGGAGAAGAAGCCCCGGCUAACUUCGUGCCAGCAGCCGCGGUAAUACGAAGGGGGCUAGCGUUGCUCGGAAUUACUGGGCGUAAAGGGCGCGUAGGCGGAUCGUUAAGUCAGAGGUGAAAUCCCAGGGCUCAACCCUGGAACUGCCUUUGAUACUGGCGAUCUUGAGUAUGAGAGAGGUAUGUGGAACUCCGGGUGUAGAGGUGAAAUUCGUAGAUAUUCGGAAGAACACCAGUGGCGAAGGCGACAUACUGGCUCAUUACUGACGCUGAGGCGCGAAAGCGUGGGGAGCAAACAGG